UACGGAGGGGGCUAGCGUUGUUCGGAAUUACUGGGCGUAAAGCGCGCGUAGGCGGUUUGUCGCGUCUGCUGUGAAAACUCGGGGCUUAACCCCGGGCCUGCAGUGGGUACGGGCAGACUAGAGUGCGGUAGGGGAGACUGGAAUUCCUGGUGUAGCGGUGAAAUGCGCAGAUAUCAGGAGGAACACCGGUGGCGAAGGCGGGUCUCUGGGCCGUAACUGACGCUGAGGAGCGAAAGCGUGGGGAGCGAACAGG
rnacentral:rRNA from 1 species